CGCAGCCUUGGGAACAACGAAGGGCCGCGUUGGCACCGCCUGGGGGCGCUGGGCCGAGUAGGGCCAGGUGGGGGAAGGCCGGAGACGCUGCAAAGGGAGCCCGUCUCCGGCUCCCGGGAUCCCUGGAUCAGAAAACUGAUGCCCCGAGAGGCUAAGUGAUUCAUCUGAUGUUCCACAGUGGAGCCAGAGCUGAAACUGAGCACUCAGGAGCCCCAGCUAAGGGCUCUGCAGCAGGCUGCUGGGAAUCAAGGAGGAAGGACAGAGCCAGUGGGGGGUGUUCUUGUCUCCUUGGCUUCCCCACCCCUGCCAGGCGGCUGUAUUAUUAUACAGUAAUAAAAAUACUAUAUAA